rnacentral:rRNA from 1 species
UACGGAGGAUCCAAGCGUUAUCCGGAUUUAUUGGGUUUAAAGGGUGCGUAGGCGGUUUUAUAAGUUAGAGGUGAAAUCUCGGGGCUCAACUCCGAAAUUGCCUCUGAUACUGUUGGGCUAGAGAGUAGUUGCGGUAGGCGGAAUGUAUGGUGUAGCGGUGAAAUGCUUAGAUAUCACGAAGAACUCCGAUUGCGAAGGCAGCUUACUGGAUUGUAACUGACGCUGAGGCACGAAAGCGUGGGGAUCAAACAGG